rnacentral:rRNA from 1 species
GAUGAACGCUGGCGGCGUGCCUAAUACAUGCAAGUCGAGCGAACAGAUGAGAAGCUUGCUUCUCUGAUGUUAGCGGCGGACGGGUGAGUAACACGUGGGUAACCUACCUAUAAGACUGGGAUAACUCCGGGAAACCGGGGCUAAUACCGGAUAAUAUUUUGAACCGCAUGGUUCAAUAGUGAAAGACGGUUUCGGCUGUCACUUAUAGAUGGACCCGCGCCGUAUUAGCUAGUUGGUAAGGUAACGGCUUACCAAGGCGACGAUACGUAGCCGACCUGAGAGGGUGAUCGGCCACACUGGAACUGAGACACAGUCCAGACUCCUACGGGAGGCAGCAGUAGGGAAUCUUCCGCAAUGGGCGAAAGCCUGACGGAGCAACGCCGCGUGAGUGAUGAAGGUCUUCGGAUCGUAAAACUCUGUUGUUAGGGAAGAACAAAUUUGUUAGUAACUGAACAAGUCUUGACGGUACCUAACCAGAAAGCCACGGCUAACUACGUGCCAGCAGCCGCGGUAAUACGUAGGUGGCAAGCGUUAUCCGGAAUUAUUGGGCGUAAAGCGCGCGUAGGCGGUUUCUUAAGUCUGAUGUGAAAGCCCACGGCUCAACCGUGGAGGGUCAUUGGAAACUGGGAAACUUGAGUGCAGAAGAGGAGAGUGGAAUUCCAUGUGUAGCGGUGAAAUGCGCAGAGAUAUGGAGGAACACCAGUGGCGAAGGCGGCUCUCUGGUCUGUAACUGACGCUGAUGUGCGAAAGCGUGGGGAUCAAACAGGAUUAGAUACCCUGGUAGUCCACGCCGUAAACGAUGAGUGCUAAGUGUUAGGGGGUUUCCGCCCCUUAGUGCUGCAGCUAACGCAUUAAGCACUCCGCCUGGGGAGUACGACCGCAAGGUUGAAACUCAAAGGAAUUGACGGGGACCCGCACAAGCGGUGGAGCAUGUGGUUUAAUUCGAAGCAACGCGAAGAACCUUACCAAAUCUUGACAUCCUUUGACCGCUCUAGAGAUAGAGUCUUCCCCUUCGGGGGACAAAGUGACAGGUGGUGCAUGGUUGUCGUCAGCUCGUGUCGUGAGAUGUUGGGUUAAGUCCCGCAACGAGCGCAACCCUUAAGCUUAGUUGCCAUCAUUAAGUUGGGCACUCUAGGUUGACUGCCGGUGACAAACCGGAGGAAGGUGGGGAUGACGUCAAAUCAUCAUGCCCCUUAUGAUUUGGGCUACACACGUGCUACAAUGGAUAAUACAAAGGGCAGCGAAUCCGCGAGGCCAAGCAAAUCCCAUAAAAUUAUUCUCAGUUCGGAUUGUAGUCUGCAACUCGACUACAUGAAGCUGGAAUCGCUAGUAAUCGUAGAUCAGCAUGCUACGGUGAAUACGUUCCCGGGUCU